GUCUUUUAAAUUAACGCUGUUUGGUUGUUAAAAAUACAUGUUGUUUUUAAACGAAUCCGAGUCUUUGACUCGUUGGUCGCCACCUACCGGUAUAGUGACGUAACCUACAGAAAGAUUCGUUUAGGUGAACAUGUUUAAAGGAUUCAUUUCAUUCGGAUAAUCAAAAUAAUAGAGGACACAGUCAUUCGACUCCCGAGUCCCGAAUCAGUCGAACGUUACUUUGAAUCAGACUACUUUGUGCAUUAAAACGCUAAUGGUUAUUAUCAACAUCGUUGUAUAAUGCCUCAGAAGUGAUAUCGUUUCAUAUAACUUUAAUUAUUUUUUAUUUGUUAACAAUCUUUGUUGCCAUCAUGCAUUAUGGCUUGUUUUCAUUAGCUAUGGCUCGAGACACGACAACGUCACUGAUGCCGAAACGAAACAGCACAUGAAAGUUUCUGACAGCUCAAAGCUCAUGAAUAUUUAAUGAGGGGAGAAUAAGAGUGGACCCCACUGAUAUUUCACCCCCUCCUGCCCUGCCGUUAAGAACAAUGUGGGAGCUCCUUUAUGUGUGAAUGACUCCGUCCCCACAUUCACUAUCUCUCAUAACCUGCAGGACAAACAAAGAGCCAAGCACUUCCUAUUGAUUGCUUCAGUGAAGGUGGGGUGUGAAGCAAUUUCUCCAAGGAGGAAGUUGCUCCUCAAAAAAGCUGAAUGAGAAAGUAUUGGCAUUUCAAAAAUUUACAUAAAUUCAACCAAAUGAUACAUAAAAAAAAAAAUCUCUCUCUUGAGGUUAUUGCAUUCUUAUAUUGUCAGUAAUAUUAGCAGUCAUUUUAUUUCUUAUGUACACUAUUAUUUAAAAGUU